UACGGAGGGUGCAAGCGUUGUUCGGAAUUACUGGGCGUAAAGCGCGCGUAGGCGGUUAUUUAAGUCAGAUGUGAAAGCCCAUGGCUCAACCAUGGACGUGCAUUUGAUACUGGAUAACUUGAGUACUGGAGGGGAUGGUGGAAUUCCCGGUGUAGAGGUGAAAUUCGUAGAUAUCGGGAGGAAUACCGGUGGCGAAGGCG
rnacentral:rRNA from 1 species